rnacentral:tRNA from 1 species
GUUAGAGUAGCUUAAAUAAAGUAUAACUCUGAAAAAGUUAAAAUGGUCUCUCCCUCUAACA